UACAGAGGGUGCGAGCGUUGUCCGGAAUCACUGGGCGUAAAGGGUGCGUAGGCGGGUCUUUAAGUCAGGGGUGAAAUCCUGGAGCUCAACUCCAGAACUGCCUUUGAUACUGAAGAUCUUGAGUUCGGGAGGGGUGAGUGGAACUGCGAGUGUAGAGGUGAAAUUCGUAGAUAUUCGCAAGAACACCAGUGGCGAAGGCGGCUCACUGGCCCGAUACUGACGCUGAGGCACGAAAGCGUGGGGAGCAAACAGG
rnacentral:rRNA from 1 species